CUACGUGCCAGCAGCCGCGGUAAUACGUAGGGUGCGAGCGUUAAUCGGAAUUACUGGGCGUAAAGCGAGCGCAGACGGUUACUUAAGCAGGAUGUGAAAUCCCCGGGCUCAACCUGGGAACUGCGUUCUGAACUGGGUAGCUAGAGUAUGUCAGAGGGGGGUAGAAUUCCACGUGUAGCAGUGAAAUGCGUAGAGAUGUGGAGGAAUACCGAUGGCGAAGGCAGCCCCCUGGGAUAAUACUGACGUUCAUGCUCGAAAGCGUGGGUAGCAAACAGGAUUAGAUACCCUGGUAGUCCACGCCCUAAACGAUGUCGAUUAGCUGUUGGGCAGCUUGACUGCUUAGUAGCGUAGCUAACGCGUGAAAUCGACCGCCUGGGGAGUACGGUCGCAAGAUUAAAACUCAAAGGAAUUGACGGGGACCCGCACAAGCGGUGGAUGAUGUGGAUUAAUUCGAUGCAACGCGAAGAACCUUACCUGGUCUUGACAU
rnacentral:rRNA from 1 species